GCAGCUCAGUCGCUAGAGCAUGAGACUCUUAAUCUCAAGGUUAUCUGCUCGAGCCCCACGUUGGGCA